rnacentral:rRNA from 1 species
CGGGCGGUGUGUACAAGGCCCGGGAACGUAUUCACCGCGACAUGCUGAUUCGCGAUUACUAGCAACUCCAGCUUCAUGUAGGCGAGUUUCAGCCUACAAUCCGAACUGAGACAAGUUUUUGAGUUUUGCUCCACCUCGCGGUCUUGCUUCUCUUUGUACUUGCCAUUGUAGCACGUGUGUAGCCCUAGACAUAAGGGGCAUGAUGAUUUGACGUCAUCCCCACCUUCCUCCCGGUUAACCCGGGCAGUCUCGCUAGAGUGCUCAACUAAAUGGUANCAACUAACAAUAAGGGUUGCGCUCGUUGCGGGACUUAACCCAACAUCUCACGACACGAAGCUGACGACAACCAUGCACCACCUGUCUUCCUGUCCCCGAAGGAACUUCCCCGAUUAAGA